UACGUAGGGGGCAAGCGUUGUCCGGAUUUACUGGGCGUAAAGCGCGCGUAGGCGGAAGCCCAAGUCUGGCCUGAAAGCCCCCGGCUCAACCGGGGAGUGGGGCUGGAAACUGGGUUUCUUGAGGGCGAUAGAGGAGUGUGGAAUUCCUGGUGUAGCGGUGAAAUGCGUAGAGAUCAGGAGGAACACCCGUGGCGAAGGCGGCACUCUGGGACGGUACUGACGCUGAGACGCGAAAAGCGUGGGGAGCGAACAGG
rnacentral:rRNA from 1 species